GAGGGUUGGAAGAAAGAAGUGUGUCUCUGUAUCUCUUUGGCCAGGAAUUCCCCCAAACAAAGCUUUUUUCAAAGCACGCCACUAUCAAGCAUCCCCAGGCAUUCGAGGGAGAAAGAAGCCCUCUUUCUUUGUUCUGUGGAUAUAGAUUCAACAGAUACUUGAUGCUGAAUGGAAGGGAGAGUGGAAGACUUGCCAGCAGUACAGGCUGCCUCAUUCACCUUUGCACUUCAGCAUUUAAGAGGAGAAUCAACACAUGUUAAUUC